CCUACGGGAGGCAGCAGUGGGGAAUAUUGGGCAAUGGGGGCAAGCCUGACCCAGCAACGCCGCGUGAAGGAAGAAGGCUUUCGGGUUGUAAACUUCUUUUCUCAGGGACGAAGAAAGUGACGGUACCUGAGGAAUAAGCCACGGCUAACUACGUGCCAGCAGCCGCGGUAAUACGUAGGUGGCAAGCGUUAUCCGGAUUUACUGGGCGUAAAGGGCGUGUAGGCGGGAAAGCAAGUCAGAAGUGAAAACCCUAGGCCCAACCUCGGGCCUGCAUUUGAAACGGUUUUUCUUG
rnacentral:rRNA from 1 species